rnacentral:rRNA from 1 species
AACGAACGCUGGCGGCAUGCCUAACACAUGCAAGUCGAACGAAGGCUUCGGCCUUAGUGGCGCACGGGUGCGUAACGCGUGGGAAUCUGCCCUUGGGUUCGGAAUAACAGUUAGAAAUGACUGCUAAUACCGGAUGAUGUCGUAAGACCAAAGAUUUAUCGCCCAGGGAUGAGCCCGCGUAAGAUUAGGUAGUUGGUGGGUAAAGGCCGUACCAAGCCGACGAUCUUUAGCUGGUCUGAGAGGAUGAUCAGCCACACUGGGACUGAGACACGGCCCAGACUCCUACGGGAGGCAGCAGUGGGGAAUAUUGGACAAUGGGCGAAAGCCUGAUCCAGCAAUGCCGCGUGAGUGAUGAAGGCCUUAGGGUUGUAAAGCUCUUUUACCAGGGAUGAUAAUGACAGU